GAUGAAGAACGCAGCGAAAUGCGAUACGUAAUGUGAAUUGCAAAUUCAGUGAAUCAUCGAGUCUUUGAACGCAUAUUGCGCCCCCUGGUAUUCCGGGGGGCAUGCCUGUCCGAGCGUCAUUGCUGCCCUCAAGCACGGCUUGUGUGUUGGGCCCCGUCCUCCGAUCCCGGGGGACGGGCCCGAAAGGCAGCGGCGGCACCGCGUCCGGUCCUCGAGCGUAUGGGGCUUUGUCACCCGCUCUGUAGGCCCGGCCGGCGCUUGCCGAUCAACCCAAAUUUUUAUCCAGGUUGACCUCGGAUCAGGUAGGGAUACCCGCUGAACUUAAGCAUAUCAAUAAGCGGAGGA
rnacentral:misc_RNA from 1 species